AUGGCCAUUGAUUCUCUGCAGGCUGCAACUCACGCAGCUGUGAAGUUGCAGAACAUGUAUAGGAGUUUUCGUGACCGGCGCAAGUUAGCUGACACCCUUAUAGCCGAGCUCUGGGGACACGCAAUAGACUUUGCUAUACUGAACAUCAGUACGACUUUCUUCUUCGAGUGCUUGAAUGAGAGGAGUUCCAAUACUCGCUGGACUCGGAUUGGCUUUAAUGCUUCUAUGGUAGGCAGAGGUUUCUCAGAAGAUGACGAAGCACAAAUAUUGGCUUUUCAGCAUUGGAUUGAAGCAAUUGAUCCACGGCAUCGUUAUGGGAGUUGCUUACGUUUGUACUUCAACCAGUGGUAUAGAUCAAAUGUUGGUCAGCCAUUUUUUUAUUGGCUGGUUGCUGGAGAAGGCAAAGAGCUUGAUCUCAAAGAAUGCUCAAGAUCAAAGCUGCGACAACAAUGCAUCAAGUAUCUUGGACCUCAAGAGAGGGAACAUUAUGAAUACAUCAUUAUUGAAAGGAAAAUAAUUCACAAGCAAACUGGAGAUCUCCUUGAUACUACCCAAGAUUCACAAUCAGCCAAGCGGAUAUUCGUCAUGAGCACCUCCAAGAAACUGUAUGUUGAUCAGAUAAAGAAAGGAGUAUUUCAUCAUUCUAGCUUCUUAGCUGGAGGAGCUACGUUAGCUGCUGGAAGGCUAGUGGCAGAGCAAGGAAUUCUUAAGUCCGUAUCUCCAUACAGUGGACAUUACCGACCAACAGAUGACAGCCUUGACAGCUUUUUAUCCCUUCUCAAGGAAAAUGGGCUGAACCUUGAUGAAAUUCAGGUAUGCAAAGCCAAUGAAGAUUCGGAUGCCUAUGAUGAGGCAAACUCAAUGGGAAUGGGACUUCAGUUGAAGGUUCAACGAAAUCAAAAACUCAAGAACUCGAAAUUCCAGAUGAAGAAGAGAAACCCCCAUCCCCAGAAUCAACUGAAUUUCCUCAAACUGAAACCAAAAACAUUUACGAAAGGACACUGUCUGGUGGUCUUCAGAGCCCGAGAGCUGAGGUUCCCAAGACUGCAAUAUUGGAACGAAUCAAUUCCAAGAAGGCAGCAAAAUCACACCAAUUAUGCAAUCAGCUCUCAUGUAAGUGGUCAAGUGGAGCUGGACCAAGAAUUGGUUGUGUCGCUGACUACCCCGUAGAACUGAGGCAACAUGCCUUGGAGUUUGAUAACCUGUCUCCAAGAACUCCACCCACACCAUCAGCCUUCAGGCGAAUGGCUGGUCUUGCAUCACCUACUGCAUCAUCUAUACCUCACCAUGAGUCGGAUAUCAGUAAUGGUGAUGGGACCUCUGCUGAUUAAAUUCAUAUAUCACUUAGUUUUUGCAUCCUGCCUAACGAAUGCUUAGUGUACAUAUCUGUUCUUCAUGUCACCUAAAACUCUUUUGAAUGGUUAGAGAAUAAUGCUUUUUAGGUCUAAUCAUGUUCCAUAAUCUCAACUUAUUCUCUGUUUAACCCACUAUCUUGGAAUUCCAAUUGGUGGUAAAAAAUUUGAGGCAAAUCGUAGAGGGUAGAAGCUGUAUAAUCUCCUGUUGAAUCCAACUACUAUAUUCAAGAGUUCACUGCCCAUGGAAAGAAAACGU